rnacentral:rRNA from 1 species
GAUCUGGCUCAGGAUGAACGCUAGCGGCAGGCCUAAUACAUGCAAGUCGAACGGUAAGCGCCCCUUCGGGGGCGCGAGAGUGGCGGACGGGUGCGUAACGCGUAUGCAACCAGCCCCCCUCACCGGGAUAGCCGGUGGAAACGCCGGAUAAUACCGGAUGCGCCGACGGGGAGGCAUCUUCCCGUCGGCAAGGCGGAGACGCGGAGGGGGACGGGCAUGCGUCCCAUUAGAUUGUAGGCGGGGUGAGGGCCCACCUAGUCGACGAUGGGUAGGGGAUCUGAGAGGACGGUCCCCCACACUGGUACUGAGACACGGACCAGACUCCUGCGGGAGGCAGCAGUAAGGGAUAUUGGUCAAUGGGGGGAACCCUGAACCAGCCGUGCCCGCGUGAGGGAAGUAGGCCCUACGGGUCGUGAACCUCUUUUAUUCGGGGACAAGCGCGCCCACGCGAUGGGUGCUUGAGGGUACCGAAGGAAUAAGCGUCGGCUAACUCCGUGCCAGCCGCCGC